GUAGGUGGCAAGCGUUGUCCGGGAAUUAUUGGGGCGUAAAGCGUGCGCAGGCGGUUCUUUAAGUCUGAUGUGAAAGCCCACGGGCUCAACCGUGGAGGGUCAUUGGAAACUGGAGAACUUGAGUACAGAAGAGGAAAGCGGAAUUCCACGUGUAGCGGUGAAAUGCGUAGAGAUGUGGAGGAACACCAGUGGCGAAGGCGGCUUUCUGGUCUGUAACUGACGCUGAGGCGCGAAAGCGUGGGGAGCAAACAGGAUUAGAUACCCUGGUAGUCCACGCCGUAAACGAUGAGUGCUAAGUGUUAGGGGGUUUCCGCCCCUUAGUGCUGCAGCUAACGCAUUAAGCACUCCGCCUGGGGAGCACGGCCGCAAAGGCUG
rnacentral:rRNA from 1 species